AAUAAUCACGUGAAUAAAUAAUUAAAGAGUAAGGGAGAAAUUGAAUUUUGGGCCUCCUUUUUGGGCCAAUUUCGCUGAAAUUUUUGCCUUCAAACCAAUCCCGUUUUUGUAUACAGCUGGUGUAUAUCAGUGUAUAUCAGCGUAUGCAUAGGCUUCUUUUCAUGUAUCUCUUGCUUCCGAACACCUAUAUUUCACCUUAGCCUUGUAUUUUUGCGUUUUUGACCUGUAUAUAAGUGUAUACAGCUGCAUAUAGUGUAUAUUGAAUGUGUAUAACGUGUAUACAACCUGCUUUUUGGACUUCCGGGGCCUGUUCCCGCUUCUUUUUCACCGAAUAUAUGAGGAUGACUCGAAACGACUCAAGGAUAUGCAAGAGUGGAGUCCAAAGUGAACUCGAAUGGAAUUUCAUAUGCAACGAAAAGCGAGUAUAAAAUUAGUGUACGAAUUAAGGGAACAAUUAAGACGUAACUUAAAAUUAAGAUGAAAGUGGCUUAAAUAUUUUUUGAGAUGAAAAUAUUACUAAAGUCACUGUUAGACCAAAUCAAGACCAAAAGGUCACUAAAUUCAACACAAAAUAGGAGGUAAUAAAAUUUAUACUAAGGUAAUGAAAAUCAAGCCACAUGGAACUUCCAAAGCACAUGCCCACAUAUAUGUAUAUAUGACUAAAAUUUAUAAGCAAUAAUUGAUGCAAUCCAAAGAUACAUUAAAGAGUUAACAUCACCUCAUACAAUACGAAACUAGCUUUAUCUAUGGAGACUUAAAGGUUGCCGGUUUGUCAUAUCAAAUGAUCAAAAUUGAAGACAAUAGCCAAUUAACUCAUUAUAGGCAAAGGAAGAAAAUAACCACAUUUAAAUAACUAAACUAGGCAACAUAAGCAAAUAUGUUAAACAAUGGCAUAAUACAAAACAAUGUUCAUAUCACUGUUGAAUAUUAACGUUCAAGUGAAUAACUAAGUUACACAACAAGUUAAAAAAUCAGAAGGAUAUUUUUAGACUUUGGACAAAGAUGGGGAGGGCUAUUUUUUUUGGAAAAUAAGAGUAAUCUUAGUUAAAUCGUCACAUUAAAAUGGUAGAGUUACAAGCAUCCCGUCAUGAGUUUAAAUCCAAAGAGAUAUAUACCACUCAAGUUGACUGAAAACAGAGGAUAGAUAUAUCUACUACGCGAAUUCAAACUAGUAUUAACAAAUAUAUCUACUACGCAAAUUCAAACUAGUAUUAACAAGGAACCUUCACACUAAGAAACAUCAAGGCCAUAAUUUUUUUAAGUCUACUCAGCACUCACAAAUAUGCCUAAUUGGAUAAGAUAUUAAAAUAAGAACCUAAAGCCAUGCUUGGAUUAACUAGAUCACUGAUGACAUAAUCCUCAAAAUAGCAUCAGAUUUCCGAACAAUGAAUUUAAAUGAGAGCUUUCAGGACAUUUCGAUAGUAACAAAUUAAAACAUAGAGGUUAAGGUUGUCUCAUUACACAAACCCAUAUUACUAUUUUAAACAAUAAUUUCACAUUCUGAAAAAAAAAAAAAAAAGACAUACCUUAAUACUUAGAUACAAUUCUAAGGGAAAUUUUAACAAAAGAAACAAUCACAAUUUCAAGAAAUUAGUUAAUCUAGCUAAAAUACUAAUUCUAAGGGAAAUUUUAACAAAAGAAACAAUCACGAUUUCAAGAAAUUAAUUAAUCUAGCUAAAAUAUUACUCAAAAUAAACAUACAAGAACACUUUUCUUCAAUUGAGGGGUAAGGGUGUGAAGCAAAAUACAUAAAGUUUCCACUGUUUUCUCAUUCUCAAACCAAAGCAACAACAGACAGUGAGAAAUGAGGACAUUGCACCAUAAAACUAGCUACUACAUCAUCCUAAUUCAUGCAUUAUAGCACUAAGGGAGUUCAACUGGGAAUAAACAAAUAUAGAUAUGCAACUACUUCACCAAACAGAGAACAAAUUAACUGAAUAAAAAUGAAAUGAGAGAAGAGGAGUUGUUACCUUCCAAAGUGCAGCGAACGGAGACGAAAACGAGCGAGGUAACAACGAUUCCUCCACCAAUCAGCGACUUAAAACCUUGGAAAAUUCUCAACCAACGAAUGGAGAGGGUGGAGCUCAGAUUAAAAAAAAAUCGUUCUCUUCUCUGUUUCGAGAGCACCUCUUAUAGAUUUAUAUUUCUCUAUACCUUGCUAUAUUAUUUUUUCUAUCUCCCCCUUUUUUUUUUUUUUU
rnacentral:lncRNA from 1 species